UUUCUUUUCUUACUUCUUUCUUUUCCAAACUUCUUGGGCACUAAACCUGCAGCUUCUAACCCCAAUUUCCAACACAUCUAAACCCUGGGAGAAGAAGAAAGAAAAAGAAAGAAAGGAAGAAAAGCUUGGUUUGUAAUUCAAGCAAGCUAAGCUUGAUGAUUAAUGUUUUGAAGGAAUAUUGGAGUGCAAGUACGGGUCAAGCAACCAUAAAGCGAGAUUCAUUUUCACUGCAACGAGAAAAUCUCGGGUAGGCAGCCUUAAUCCAUGCUCUGAAUUUUGCUGCAGCGAGAAACUCUUUGGUGGUUCUAAAAUUAUGGUGCAGUGCUUUCACUUUGACAACGAUUUUGACUACCUUUCGAUCAAAACUGGGCAAAGUGGAGAUGGUAUAAAUGUAGGUAAUUGUGGAUGUUUUUGCUCUGUGGAAUAUUAGAAAGAGAGAUUCAAAUUAUGCCUUUUUGAGGUUUCGGUUUGAGAAGGAGCAAAGCAGGGCAAUUCGCUAGGGGGAUGGAAUGGUGCUUUAUGGUAGGAGAAUCAUGGUCAGAAAGCUUUUGAGGUGGAAAGACUGAGGCGUGAUUUGCCAAUUGAUCAUGUAAAGUAAUCCAUUCCAAUCCACUUACAUUUAAAGAGGUAUUAAUUAAUACUCAUAAACAAUAGGCUAAGGUUAAAAGGGUGCAAUCAAUAAAGGUUGAAAAAAAAGCAUAAGCAAAGUAUCAAUGUGUUUAUACUUAAGAUGAAUGAUGAAUGAUUGAAGAAAAGUGCAUUGGGAUUAUUAAAAGAGGGGUAUUGUAUUAAGGUUGUGGAACAACAAUUGGCUACGAAGGGUAUAAUGGUUUGAAUUAAAGAAGUUGGGGGUUUGCAUAUGGUUAUCACACUCUAUAGUACUAAGGAAAUGGAAGUUUAUUGUCGAUUUU